ACGAACGCUGGCGGCGUGCUUAACCCAUGCAAGUCGAACGGAAAGGCCCUGCUUUUGUGGGGUGCUCGAGUGGCGAACGGGUGAGUAACACGUGAGUAACCUGCCCUUGACUUUGGGAUAACUUCAGGAAACUGGGGCUAAUACUGGAUAGGAGCUCCUGCUGCAUGGUGGGGGUUGGAAAGUUUCGGCGGUUGGGGAUGGACUCGCGGCUUAUCAGCUUGUUGGUGGGGUAGUGGCUUACCAAGGCUUUGACGGGUAGCCGGCCUGAGAGGGUGACCGGCCACAUUGGGACUGAGAUACGGCCCAGACUCCUACGGGAGGCAGCAGUGGGGAAUAUUGCACAAUGGGCGGAAGCCUGAUGCAGCAACGCCGCGUGCGGGAUGACGGCCUUCGGGUUGUAAACCGCUUUCGCCUGUGACGAAGCGUGAGUGACGGUAAUGGGUAAAGAAGCACCGGCUAACUACGUG
rnacentral:rRNA from 1 species